AUUGAACGCUGGCGGCAUGCCUUACACAUGCAAGUCGAACGGUAACAGGUCUUCGGAUGCUGACGAGUGGCGAACGGGUGAGUAAUACAUCGGAACGUGCCCGAUCGUGGGGGAUAACGGAGCGAAAGCUUUGCUAAUACCGCAUACGAUCUACGGAUGAAAGCAGGGGACCGCAAGGCCUUGCGCGGACGGAGCGGCCGAUGGCAGAUGAGGUAGUUGGUGGGAUAAAAGCUUACCAAGCCGACGAUCUGUAGCUGGUCUGAGAGGGCGACCAGCCACACUGGGACUGAGACACGGCCCAGACUCCUACGGGAGGCAGCAGUGGGGAAUUUUGGACAAUGGGCGCAAGCCUGAUCCAGCCAUGCCGCGUGCAGGAUGAAGGCCUUCGGGUUGUAAACUGCUUUUGUACGGAACGAAAAGACUCUGGUUAAUACCUGGGGUCCAUGACGGUACCGUAAGAAUAAGCACCGGCUAACUACGUGCCAGCCGCCGCGGUAAAAC
rnacentral:rRNA from 1 species